rnacentral:lncRNA from 1 species
AGCCGAGGAUGUUUGUCCCUUGCACAGGAGGUACAGCCUGGUUUCGUUUCAAGCUGCCAGAUGUUUGUCGUGUUACCAAUGUUUCUUCCUACUGAAGCAAAUUGAAGACACCUCUUUCUCUUUAAGGUCCCAGACAUGAGGCACAGGGAAGUUCCUGUCCGUGCAGCUUGUGACCAACGUGCAGAGCAGCCCUGGGCUGGCAGGGCCGUGUCAUGAACGGUAUCUGCCAAACCACCGGGCUCUGUGCCAGCAGCAGCCCCUUGGAUGAUCCCAAAUGCAUCUGGAGGUUGAAAAGUGUUUGCAGUGCAGCCCAGAGUCGUUGCCUUGCAAUGCAGAACCUGGGGAGUGUCCACUGUCACCUGCAAGCAGAGGACGGUGCCACCAGUACUGGGAUGCGGGCAGCAAAGAAGAGAAAUUUGAUGUGCUUGCACCUAAGGGCUUUUGUUCUCUUUGCUCUUCCGGUGUUGCUGCAUGGGGAUAAAGCCAACACAAGGCAAGUCCCUGCUCGGAAGCAUCACGCAGCAGAUGCUGGCAGCUGGUUUUGGAAAGGCAGAAAUGCUGUGAGCUAGGCAAGAAAUGGCAGUGCCUUUCUGAGAGCAGAUGUUGAAAAUCACUGGUGUGUUGCAGCAAUGGGAUAUUAGGAUUCAAAAAAGUGCAGUGAGACCAGAGGAAAAGGACAGGGGAAAGGGAAAGCUGUUGCUGAGCACCCGGUGGAGGCAGAGAAGGUGCAAGAGGCGAGCAUGAAGCCGAUGCUCUGUGCUGGGGAGGCUGGAGUUGUGCUACCUGAGCAGGCAGUGGCUGUGGCUGUGCAAUGCCCUGGCGGUGCCACCCCGCUCGUUCCCUGCCCACGAUCACGGCUGAUGCAGUAAUACAGCGAGGAGACUUCCCAGCAGCAGCACUGACAGCCUCUGACUGAGCUCCCGUAGGAAUAUGCUAUUUGUGUUGGCAGUCAUAAAUCCCCCAGGACUCAGAUGACAGUGGAGGCAUUAUGAGUCUGGGCUGUCUUGUGUAUAAUAUCUGCUCUACAUUGAUUUGUGAUUCACUGGCAUAAUUAUUUCUGUUCAGCAUCACCGACCUGUUUACAAAAAUAAAGUAAAAUAAAUAUUUAAUGCUACUUUUAAA